rnacentral:lncRNA from 1 species
AAGAGUCCCCUCUUCAGUUGUGAUCUUGCUUAAUGAGUAUUAACCUGUUUUAUCUCCCCUGAAAGAUUGUGAGUUUUCUGAUACAAGGUGUGAUGGACUAUAUUAGAUAUAGCAUAAUAGCUAUACUAGGUGAGGUCUCUAAGGAGGUGACAGUUGUUGAGGGACCAAUUAGGCAAAGAGCUGGUCAGAGGGGACGGCAUAGCUCCAAAGCAGAAAAGAGUUUGGUGGAGUUCCCAUCGUGGCGCAGUGGUUAACGAAUCCGACUAGGAACCAUGAGGUUGCGGGUUCGAUCCCUGGCCUUGCUCAGUGGGUUAGGGAUCCGGCGUUGCCGUGAGCUGUGGUGGGGGUCACAGACGCAGCUCGGAUCCCGCGUUGCUGUGGCUCUGGCGUAGGCCAGUGGCUACAGCUCCGAUUGGACCCCUAGCCUGGGAACCUCCAUAUGCCGCGGGAGCGGCCCAAGAAAUAGCAAAAAAAAAAAAAAAAAAAGACACUGCGCCAUUUGAGGGACAGGAAGGAUGAGCAAGAAAAAGAUGGAGAGACAUGAGAACAGAGUGGUCAUCAGGGUAGAUCAUAUCCCUUGUAGUUUGUAGUGUAUGGUAUGGAUUUUGAUCCUUUUUUUUUUUGGCGUUUUAGGGCCACGCCUAAGGCAUAUGGAAGUUCCCAGGCUAGGGGUUGCACUGGAGCUACAGCUGUUGGCCUACACCACAGCCACAGCAACUCAGGAUCUGAGUUGCGACAUCUGCAACCUUCACCACAGCUCACAGCAAUGCCAGAUCCUCGACCCACUGAGUGAGGACAGGGAUCGGAACCUGCAUCCUCAUGGAUACUAGUUGGAUUCGUUUCCACUGCGCCACCAUGGGAACUCCCGGUCUUUAUUCUUUUUUAAAAAAAAUAUUUAUUAAAUUUUUUUAUCUUUUUGGCCAUGCCCAUGGCAUGUGGAAGUUCCAGGGCCAGGGAUUGAACGUGAGUCCCAGCAGUGACUCAAGCCACUGCAGUGACAACACCAGAUCAUUAACACACUGCACCACAAGAGAACUCCUUGACCUUUAUUCUUAAUGCAUUUUAAAGCCCUUAAAGGAUGGCAAGCAAAAUAAUCCAUCCUGUAAUAUGACUUAAUAUUUUUUUCUUUUUUUUUUUUUUUUGAUGUCCUGGGGCGUAUGGAGUUCCUGGGCCAGGGAUGGACUCUGAGCUGGAGUUGUGACCUACGCCACAGGUGCGGCAAAAUGCCAGAGCCUUAACCUCCUGCACUGGGCCAGGGAUCAAACCCGCCUCCUCCCUGUUGCUGCAGAGACACUGUUGAUCUCGUGCCACAGCCGGAACUCCUGAUUUAAUUUUUUUAAUUAUCUCUGCUUGUGAAGAACGAUUGUAGGGAGGCAAAAGAGGAAACAGAGAUCAGAUAAGAGGCUGUUGUGGCAAUCCGAGCGACAGGUAAACCCAGGUGAUUUAGCUGGGUUGUGGGGGCAGUGAAAAAUGGACAGAAAUGGUGACUUUGAUGUGUAUUUUGGUGGUAGAUGUAUUGGAUAUGGAUGUGAGGGAAAGGGAAGAAUCAAGGAUAAGAACUAGAUUUUUGGCCCACGUAACUGGGUGGACGCUAGACUCCAUCCCUUUAGAAUAUAUCCAGAAUCUGGUCAUAUCUCACUGGCUCCUCCACUCUGUCCUGAUCCAAGUCCCCUGGAAUCAUUGCCUCUCACUUGCACUACUGCAACAGUUCCCUAAUGAGUCUCCCAGCUUUCGUCUUUACCGCCCCUCCUCCAAUUUCUUCACAGCAGCCAGAAUAUUCACACCAAAGUGGAAAUCUCCUCGUGUCAAGCCUCUGUUCAAAAUCCUCCAUCAUUCUUGGAAUAAAAGGUCAUGGUCAGCCCGUUGCCCCUCUGACCUCAUCUCUUGCUCCUCUCACUUGCUGUUUUAACAACUUCAGUCCCCAUCCCCUGUAUUCUCUCUCCCUUCCCUGCUUUGUCUCCUUAGCCCUUAUUAUUGCUUAAUGCAUGACAUAAUUUACUUUUUUUUUCUUCUAUUUAUUAUAUGUCCCCCAGCAGAAGAAUGGAGGCUCUGUGCAGGCAGGGGGUUUUGUCUGUUUUGUUCACUGUUACAGUAGGUGCUCAGUAAAUAUUUGUUUACUAUGUGUGUUAAAUAAACUUAUGGGAAGGGGAAGUCUGUGGGAGGAGCAGGUUAGUAUAGGGGUGGAAACGGAGAAUUUUGUUUAGACAUGUUAAGUUUGAGGUAUCUUGGCAGAUGUUGAGUAGAGAGGUGGGCCCACCGAUCCAGUUAGGAAGGAGGCCUGGGCUAGAGAUACCUAUCAGAGAAUCAGUAUCAUGAAGAUAAUGGCAAUGCCUAGGGAGGGAGUGUAGAUAGAGAAUAAAGAAGGUUCAAGACCUGUGUCUGGGUAGGGUAAGGUAGAGGAGGAGCCAGCAAAGGAAUAAAAAGAAGAGUGUGCUGGAGUUCCUGUCAUGGUGCAGUGGAAAUGAAUCCGACUAGGAACCAUGAGGUUGCAGGUUUGAUCCCUGGCCUCGCUCAGUAGGUUAGGGAUCCGGCAUUGCCAGGAGCUGUGGUGUAGGUCGCAGAUGCGGCUUGGAUCUGGCAUUGCUGUGGCUCUGGUGUAGGCCGGCAGCUAUAGCUCUGAUUCGACCCCUAGCCUGGGAACCUCCAUAUGCCGUGGGUGUGGCCCUAAAAAGACCAAAAGGGGGGGGGGAAUAGGAGGAGUGAAGAGUGUGGAUAAGAAGAAAAGUUAGCAAGUGGCACCAAUCACCCAACCUCCAGUUGACUGUCCCUGGCUCAGAGUAAUCUUUCAUAGUGCAGCACCCUUCCCCUGGGAGAGAUGUGGCUUGUUGCGGGGGCCACAAUCACGGUUUCUCCUAGAUCUUUGUUCAGGGGCCCAAACUCCUUCUUUUGGGGGAUUAGGAAAUGAUGGUUAAGAAUACAGACCCUGGGAGUUCCUGUUGUGGCUCAGCGGCUUAACAAACCCAACUAGUAUCCAUGAGGAUGCAGGUUUGAUCCCUGGCCUUGCUCAGUGGGUUAAGGAUCUGGCAUUGCCAUGAGCUAUGGUGUAGGUCACAGAUUUGGUUCGGAUCCUCAAGUAUUUUUAAAAUGUUAGCUGUUGGACCGCUGCCACGCCACCAUCAUGGACACAAGCCUUGUGCAGCCCAUCCAGCUUGCCAGGGUUACCAAGGUUCUGGGCAGGACAGGUUCGCAGGGACAGUGCACACAGGUGUGCAUAGAAUUCAGGGGUGACACGAGCCAUUACAUCAUCCGAAACAUGAAAGACCCCGGUCGCCAGGGCGGUGUGCUCACCCUUUUGGAGUCAGAGUGAGAGCCUUUGCGGAACUUGUGGCUCGGUCCUGGAUGUCUGGGUCGACCACCUGGCCCACCAUGAUCUGCUGUUAAUAAAGCGUUUAUAUUGUAU